rnacentral:rRNA from 1 species
CAUUUAGCGAUCAAGGUUACCUUGUGUUGUAUCACAAACAGAUAUCGCAAUCGGCUCGCAUUUAGCUGUUAUGUUUAUUCAACACUUGCGCAUGAUGCGACAUGUUGUACCGGUGACGGAGUUAACAUAUGUCGGUUAAAGACGGGCCAGAAAAUGUAGAUUGUAAUAUGAUUUAGGUCGGAAGUAGUAGCACAACCGCCCGGGUCCCAUGCCCCUGAAAAGCCCCCCCCCAAUAAAGGAAAAAAAAUAAACGAGCUUUUAUAAUUGGGAACCUGGGCCGCUCUAUAAAUAAAAUUAUAUUUGCGCUGCCAGUUCUCAGCACCCCUGUGAAAAUCCCCUUAUUUACCUAUUAGUAAAUAAGGAGCGGAUAUCAGGCACAAUUUAUGCCCAUAACAUCUUGCCAAGCCACACCUCUACAGGAAUUCAGCAGUGAUAAACAUUGAAAAUAAGCGUCAAUAAGCUUGAAUCAGUAAUAAUUUUAAGAGUUGGUAAAUUUCGUGCCAGCCACCGCGGUUAUACGAGAAACUC